rnacentral:rRNA from 1 species
GGAUCCAGACUUUGAUCCUGGCUCAGGAUGAACGCUAGCUACAGGCUUAACACAUGCAAGUCGAGGGGAAACGAUAUUGGAAGCUUGCUUCCGAUAGGCGUCGACCGGUGCACGGGUGAGUAACACGUAUCCAACCUGCCCAUCACUUGGGGAUAACCUUGCGAAAGUAAGACUAAUACCCAAUGACGUCCAUAGAAGACAUCUGAAAUGGAUUAAAGAUUCAUCGGUGAUGGAUGGGGAUGCGUCUGAUUAGCUUGUUGGCGGGGUAACGGCCCACCAAGGCGACGAUCAGUAGGGGUUCUGAGAGGAAGGUCCCCCACAUUGGAACUGAGACACGGUCCAAACUCCUACGGGAGGCAGCAGUGAGGAAUAUUGGUCAAUGGGCGAGAGCCUGAACCAGCCAAGUAGCGUGCAGGAUGACGGCCCUAUGGGUUGUAAACUGCUUUUAUA